rnacentral:rRNA from 1 species
UGGGGAAUAUUGCACAAUGGGCGCAAGCCUGAUGCAGCAACGCCGCGUGAGGGAUGACGGCCUUCGGGUUGUAAACCUCUUUUAGCAGGGAAGAAGCGAAAAGUGACGGUACCUGCAGAAAAAGCGCCGGCUAACUACGUGCCAGCAGCCGCGGUAAUACGUAGGGCGCAAGCGUUAUCCGGAAUUAUUGGGCGUAAAGAGCUCGUAGGCGGUUUGUCGCGUCUGCUGUGAAAAUCCCGAGGCUCAACCUCGGGUCUGCAGUGGGUACGGGCAGACUAGAGUGCGGUAGGGGAGAUUGGAAUUCCUGGUGUAGCGGUGAAUGCGCAGAUAUCAGGAGGAACACCGAUGGCGAAGGCAGAUCUCUGGGCCGUAACUGACGCUGAGGAGCGAAAAGGGUGGGGAGCAAACAGGCUUNGAUACCCUGGUAGUCCACCCCGUAAACGUUGGGAACUAGUUGUGGGGUCCAUUCCACGGAUUCCGUGACGCAGCUAACGCAUUAAGUUCCCCGCCUGGGGAGUACGGCCGCAAGGCUAAAAACUUGAAAUGAAUUGACGGGGUCAUAGC